UACGUAGGUGGCGAGCGUUGUCCGGAUUUACUGGGCGUAAAGAGCGCGCAGGCGGUCGUAUAAGUCGCGUGUGAAAGCCCCCGGCUCAACUGGGGAGGGUCACGCGAUACUGUUCGACUCGAAGGCAGGAGAGGGAAGUGGAAUUCCCGGUGUAGUGGUGAAAUGCGUAGAUAUCAGGAGGAACACCUGUGGCGAAAGCGGCGCACUGGACCACAACUGACGCUGAGGCGCGAAAGCUAGGGGAGCAAACGGG
rnacentral:rRNA from 1 species